rnacentral:tRNA from 1 species
GCCUGUGUGGCUCAGUGGUAGAGCCUCAACCUAUGAACCAGGAGGUCAGGGUUCAAUUCUCUGCCAGGGCA